rnacentral:rRNA from 1 species
GAUGAACGCUGGCGGCGUGCCUAAUACAUGCAAGUCGAGCGAACAGACGAGGAGCUUGCUCCUCUGACGUUAGCGGCGGACGGGUGAGUAACACGUGGAUAACCUACCUAUAAGACUGGGAUAACUUCGGGAAACCGGAGCUAAUACCGGAUAAUAUAUUGAACCGCAUGGUUCAAUAGUGAAAGACGGUUUUGCUGUCACUUAUAGAUGGAUCCGCGCCGCAUUAGCUAGUUGGUAAGGUAACGGCUUACCAAGGCAACGAUGCGUAGCCGACCUGAGGGUGAUCGGCCACACUGGAACUGAGACACGGUCCAGACUCCUACGGGAGGCAGCAGUAGGGAAUCUUCCGCAAUGGGCGAAAGCCUGACGGAGCAACGCCGCGUGAGUGAUGAAGGUCUUCGGAUCGUAAAACUCUGUUAUUAGGGAAGAACAAAUGUGUAAGUAACUAUGCACGUCUUGACGGUACCUAAGCAGAAAGCCACGGCUAACUACGU